AGCGGGUGAAAAGCCCGCUCGCCGGAAGACCAAGGGUUCCUGUCCAACGUUAAUCGGGGCAGGGUGAGUCGACCCCUAAGGCGAGGCCGAAAGGCGUAGUCGAUGGGAAACGGGUUAAUAUUCCCGUACUUGGUGUUACUGCGAAGGGGGGACGGAGAAGGCUAUGUUGGCCGGGCGACGGUUGUCCCGGUUUAAGCGUGUAGGUGUGUGUUCCAGGUAAAUCCGGUUCACUUUAACACUGAGGCGUGAYGACGAGGCACUACGGUGCUGAAGCAACAAAUGCCCUGCUUCCAGGAAAAGCCUCUAAGCAUCAGGUAACAUCAAAUCGUACCCCAAACCGACACAGGUGGUCAGGUAGAGAAUACCAAGGCGCUUGAGAGAACUCGGGUGAAGGAACUAGGCAAAAUGGUGCCGUAACUUCGGGAGAAGGCACGCUGACACGUAGGUGAAGUGAUUUACUCAYGGAGCUGAAGUCAGUCGAAGAUACCAGCUGGCUGCAACUGUUUAUUAAAAACACAGCACUGUGCAAACACGAAAGUGGACGUAUACGGUGUGACGCCUGCCCGGUGCCGGAAGGUUAAUUGAUGGGGUCAGCGCAAGCGAAGCUCCUGAUCGAAGCCCCGGUAAACGGCGGCCGUAACUAUAACGGUCCUAAGGUAGCGAAAUUCCUUGUCGGGUAAGUUCCGACCUGCACGAAUGGCGUAAUGAUGGCCAGGCUGUCUCCACCCGAGACUCAGUGAAAUUGAACUCGCUGUGAAGAUGCAGUGUACCCGCGGCAAGACGGAAAGACCCCGUGAACCUUUACUAUAGCUUGACACUGAACAUUGAGCCUUGAUGUGUAGGAUAGGUGGGAGGCUUUGAARCGUGGACGCCAGUCUGCGUGGAGCCGACCUUGAAAUACCACCCUUUAAUGUUUGAUGUUCUAACGUGGACCCGURAUCCGGGUUGCGGACAGUGUCUGGUGGGUAGUUUGACUGGGGCGGUCUCCUCCUAAAGAGUAACGGAGGAGCACGAAGGUUGGCUAAUCCUGGUCGGACAUCAGGAGGUUAGUGCAAUGGCAUAAGCCAGCUUGACUGCGAGCGUGACGGCGCGAGCAGGUGCGAAAGCAGGUCAUAGUGAUCCGGUGGUUCUGAAUGGAAGGGCCAUCGCUCAACGGAUAAAAGGUACUCCGGGGAUAACAGGCUGAUACCGCCCAAGAGUUCAUAUCGACGGCGGUGUUUGGCACCUCGAUGUCGGCUCAUCACAUCCUGGGGCUGAAGUAGGUCCCAAGGGUAUGGCUGUUCGCCAUUUAAAGUGGUACGCGAGCUGGGUUUAGAACGUCGUGAGACAGUUCGGUCCCUAUCUGCCGUGGGCGCUGGAGAACUGAGGGGGGCUGCUCCUAGUACGAGAGGACCGGAGUGGACGCAUCACUGGUGUUCGGGUUGUCAUGCCAAUGGCACUGCCCGGUAGCUAAAUGCGGAAGAGAUAAGUGCUGAAAGCAUCUAAGCACGAAACUUGCCCCGAGAUGAGUUCUCCCUGAGACUU
rnacentral:rRNA from 1 species